GCAAGAUUGGGGACUCCAAGACCAAGACCUCUCAAGUUCCAGGAAAUUUACAACACUUGGCCAUGGUCCAGGGAGGUGUCAAGCCCAUAGUGCCCCUACCUUUAGGUGAUCACAGGCCACUUCUUCAUCCUCCAAGACGUGAAAGGAGGCAGCUGCCACCAGGAGCACAGUUCUGCCCUCAGUGUCCUAUGCUGCAGAAAGAAGUUGACAACCUUAAAGAACAACUUGUGGACAUGCAGUGUCUCCUUGACAAGUGCCAGAUCCUUUGAAGUUCAACACAGCAUCCCCAUACACAGAAAGAGCUGGUACCUUUUGAGUCAAGGAGCUGUGGCCACACUGGUUCCCCCGACCUGCCUGCAUCUCUUCGGAAAGCCCUGCCCUGCCGCCCUGCCGCCCUGCCGCCCUGCCUCCCUGCCAGGGCUUCCUCUCUUUCCUGAGGUUUAGCGUGGCUUUUGUCACUCAGUUCAUUGCAGUUUGCAA